rnacentral:misc_RNA from 1 species
GGCGGAAGUAAAAGUCGUAACAAGGUUCCGUAGGUGAACCUGCGGAAGGAUCAUUAAAAAUUGGACUCCAUUGGUGAGUUCAUUAAUAAUCCCUACCCUUUGUGAAUUUGUUUGUUUGAAUAAUUUUUUUCCAAAAAAAUUAUUGAAUGCCUUUCCUUGUUUUGGUGGAGCUUGUAAAGUGAAACCAGGCAGGGGAAUGGCAAACAAUAAUUAUUUUUGAAAAAGACCUUUUUUUAAAAUUAAACUUUUUGUAUUCAUUUGUCUAAAAUUAAUUUUUAUAAUAUAAAAACAACUUUUGACAAUGGAUCUCUUGGUUCUCGCAACGAUGAAGAACGCAGCAAAUGCGAUAAGUAGUGUGAAUUGCAGAAUACGUGAAUCAUCGGAAUCUUCGAACGCAUAUUGCACUUUUUUAGUUUACUAAAAAGUAUGUCUGUUUGAGUAUCAGUAAAAUAUUCUCAUGAAAAACAUUGUUUUUUCUAUGGUUAUGAGUGUUUUACAACGAUAACAAGUUGUUUCACUUUAAAUUCUUUGUUAUCAAAAAAAUCAUUAAAAGCUAAUUUUAAAGAUUUUUUAAAAUUGGAUAAAAUUUUCCCGUAAAAAGGAAUAACCUAAACAAUUUUAAAAAAUUAAAAUUGGUUUGAUUUUUUUGAAACCCAAAGGAAAAAAAACGAAAUUAACUUGAUCUCAAAUCAGAUAAGAGUACCGCCUGAACUUAAGCAUAUCAAUAAGCGGAGGAAAAGAAACUAACUAGGAUUCCCUCAGUAACGGCGAGUGAAGCGGGAAGAGCUCAAAUUUGAAAUCUUCAAGGUUUUACCUUGACGAAUUGUAGUUUAAAGAAGUGUUUUCUGUUGGAGUUUUGGUAAAAGUUCUUUGGAAGAGGACAUCAUAGAGGGUGAGAAUCCCGUAUUUGACCAUUAUCUCCAGCUUUGUGAUACACUUUCAAAGAGUCGGAUUGUUUGGGAAUGCAGUCCAAAAUGGGUGGUAAAUUUCAUCUAAAGCUAAAUACUGGCGAGAGACCGAUAGCGAACAAGUACCGUGAGGGAAAGAUGAAAAGAACUUUGAAAAGAGAGUUAAACAGUACGUGAAAUUGUCAAAAGGGAAGCGUUUGACACCAGUGUUGUUUUCUCGAAAAUCAAUUAAAAAAGGCCGGAUUUUGUGUUGUAUUGACUUUAUCAGCUUUCUGCACUCUUUUCUUGUCUUUUUUAAUGCACUUUUCGUUUAACAAGUCAACAUCAAUUUCUUUUGUUGUAAAAGGGUCAUUGGAAGGUGGCUUUCUUUUCGGAGAAAGUGUUUAUAGCCUUUGGCCUCUGCAAUCGGAGAGAUUGAGGUCUGCAGCGUAGAUCCUUCGGGGUUAGAUACAUUUGUGCUAAGUUAUAGCCUUUCAUAGACAACUUGUUGACUAUGAUCAGUCAUGUAGCUUACUCGCUUAUGCUAUUUUACCUACGCUUAGGAUGUUGAG